GAUGAACGCUGGCGGCGUGCCUAAUACAUGCAAGUCGAGCGAACAGAUGAGGAGCUUGCUCCUCUGGCGUUAGCGGCGGACGGGUGAGUAACACGUGGAUAACCUACCUAUAAGACUGGGAUAACUUCGGGAAACCGGAGCUAAUACCGGAUAAUAUAUUGAACCGCAUGGUUCAAUAGUGAAAGACGGUUUUGCUGUCACUUAUAGAUGGAUCCGCGCCGCAUUAGCUAGUUGGUAAGGUAACGGCUUACCAAGGCAACGAUGCGUAGCCGACCUGAGAGGGUGAUCGGCCACACUGGAACUGAGACACGGUCCAGACUCCUACGGGAGGCAGCAGUAGGGAAUCUUCCGCAAUGGGCGAAAGCCUGACGGAGCAACGCCGCGUGAGUGAUGAAGGUCUUCGGAUCGUAAAACUCUGUUAUUAGGGAAGAACAAAUGUGUAAGUAACUAUGCACGUCUUGACGGUACCUAAUCAGAAAGCCACGGCUAACUACGU
rnacentral:rRNA from 1 species